UUAGCGGCGGACGGGUGAGUAACACGUGGGCAACCUGCCCCUUAGACUGGGAUAACUCCGGGAAACCGGAGCUAAUACCGGAUAAUCCCUUUCUCCACCUGGAGAGAGGGUGAAAGAUGGCUUCGGCUAUCACUAGGGGAUGGGCCCGCGGCGCAUUAGCUAGUUGGUAAGGUAACGGCUUACCAAGGCAACGAUGCGUAGCCGACCUGAGAGGGUGAUC
rnacentral:rRNA from 1 species